AUAAUUUAUUCAAAUUCAAUAGAUACAUUUAGCAUUAUACAUGUAUCAUUAAAGCUUUAAAAUGAAAUCAGCACCAUAUGCAGUAGCCUUUACAACAAGAAGAGGGGGUAAAACUAGUGGACAGACUUAAAACCAGUUCCACAUUUUCUAUCAACCGAGGAAGAAAUAAGUUCCAUAUUUUCUGUUUGUCCACUGUGGCGAGGUCAUUCAAUGUGGACGACUGGAAUAUACAUUUWAAAAAAAAAUGUUGUGCAAUGGUUUGCUACGUAUUACUGUAAUUAGCUCGUUAGUCUGUAAACAAUUUGUAAAAAUGAACAAUGCAAUAGGUAGUCAUUUUCUCAAUGGUAGUUGUGUCUGCCGGAGAGUCUUGAAAAUAGGCAGCUUUAGAUGUCUGGUCCCUCAAUAACAUGAUGCAGCUCAUUUACAAAGAAAUGUCAUGACAGCUCAUUCAAGGUUUCCACCGGUGAAAGAGUUGUCUUCUUCCAAAAUUCGGUGUUUUCAAUGGACCGAAAUGCAGAUGCAGUUGUCAGGCAGGGCUGGAGGUACAAUGAAUGUAUUUGUCACGACUAUGACGAGGAGACAGAAGAAAUUGGCUGCAUCACUACAAGACAGUGACAAAUAUGACUAUCUGGAGAGAUGAGGUAUACUCUAGCUGUAUUUGUAAGAGAUAGUUUGUCCCGUCCUAGCAGAGUUGCAGACAGGGUCUAUGACAUUGCAAGGACAUUUCCUUUGGCAUUGGACAUUGGCUGUGGGAAAAGUCACAUUGCUGAGCAUUUGUACGAGGUAGCCUUCAAUGGUUGCUCAUAAACAGGAAGUAGUUGAGUAGCUCUUCUUAAUUGACAUCUCAGAAAAGUCUUUGGUGAGUUAAAUUU